rnacentral:rRNA from 1 species
CCUACGGGAGGCAGCAGUGGGGAAUAUUGCACAAUGGGCGAAAGCCUGAUGGAGCAACGCCGCGUGGGUGAAGAAGGUCUUCGGAUCGUAAAACCCUGUUGUUAGAGAAGAAAGUGCGUGAGAGUAACUGUUCACGUUUCGACGGUAUCUAACCAGAAAGCCACGGCUAAAUACGUGCCAGCAGCCGCGGUAAUACGUAGGUGGCAAGCUUUAUCCGGAUUUAUUGGGCGUAAAGGGAACGCAGGCGGUCUUGCAAGUCUGAUGUGAAAGCCUUCGGCUUAACCGGAGUAGUGCUUUGGAAGCUGGAUGACUGGAGUGCAGGAGAGGAGAGUGGAACUCCAUGUGUAGCGGUGAAAUGCGUAGAUAUAUGGAAGAACACCAGUGGCGAAGGCGGCUUUCUGGUCUGUAACUGACGCUGAGGUUCGAAAGCGUGGGUAGCAAACAGGAUUAGAUACCCCUGUAGUC